CAGCCGCCGCGGAAUACGGAGGGGGCUAGCGUUGUUCGGAAUUACUGGGCGUAAAGCGUGCGCAGGCGGUUCGGAAAGAGAGAUGUGAAAUCCCAGGGCUUAACCUUGGAACUGCAUUUUUAACUACCGGACUAGAGUGUGUCAGAGGGAGGUGGAAUUCCGCGUGUAGCAGUGAAAUGCGUAGAGAUGCGGAGGAACACCGAUGGCGAAGGCAGCCUUCUGGGAUAACACUGACGCUCAUGCACGAAAGCGUGGGGAGCAAACAGGAUUAGAUACCCCUGUAGUCCCUGUCUCUUAUACA
rnacentral:rRNA from 1 species